GUCAGUUCCUGAAACGGCAAGACGCAGGAAAGCGGCACACAGGUGACACCAAAGUGCUGUGAUGUUGGAACCAACACUUCAACAACUGUUGUCUGAUAUGGAGGAAGAAAUGACACCAGUAUGGAGACCGCCGUUUGGGAAUGCUGUGCAGGGUUUUACCUGGCAGUACUGCAUCUUAAUGAAAAGGCUCAACAUCUGCAAGCUACUACCUCAUCUGAAAUGUCUUUCUCCAAGUUGGGAGCAGGAACACCUGAGUACAUCAAAACCCCUGAGACCUUCAGAGUGGAUUUUCUGCUGUGCUUUGGAUCACUGCUAUGCUGCUUAACUGAACUGCACUGAAGGUGCCACCCUAAGGCCUGGACGUUCUUGAAUGCUGGUUAACCAGGCCUACAUGUGGCUGGUAAGUAAAUAAACAGAGACCGACAGACACUUUAUUUAUCGCCAGAGAAAUACGUUGGCUUUACCUUUUCUGGUUGGUUGGUCAGGCUGUUUCCCCUUAGUAAAUAAAAUCCUGUUUUAAAAACUUAUUUUUUGUUUUUGCCCAGGCUGAUAUUAAGUAUACUUUUUCAAAGCGUUGCUCAGUCUAAGAGCUAUCGAAUGUCACAACAUAAACAAUGCAAGUCCACAAA